AGAGUUUGAUCCUGGCUCAGAUUGAACGCUGGCGGUAUGCUUAACACAUGCAAGUCGAACGGAAACGAUGGUAACUUGCUACCAGGCGUCGAGUGGCGGACGGGUGAGUAACGCGUAGGAAUCUGCCUGAUAGUGGGGGAUAGCCCAGAGAAAUCUGGAUUAAUACCGCAUAAUCUCUAUGGAGUAAAGGAGCCCUCUUCUUGAAAGGUUUCGCUAUCAGAUGAGCCUGCGUAAGAUUAGCUUGUUGGUGAGGUAAAAGCUCACCAAGGCGACGAUCUUUAGCUGGUCUGAGAGGAUGAUCAGCCACACUGGAACUGAGACACGGUCCAGACUCCUACGGGAGGCAGCAGUGGGGAAUAUUGGACAAUGGGCGCAAGCCUGAUCCAGCAAUACCGCGUGUGUGAAGAAGGCCUGAGGGUUGUAAAGCACUUUCAAUUGUGAGAAAA
rnacentral:rRNA from 1 species